AACGAACGCUGGCGGCAGGCUUAACACAUGCAAGUCGAACGGGUGUAGCAAUACAUCAGUGGCAGACGGGUGAGUAACACGUGGGAACCUUCCUAGGGGUACGGAACAACUCAGGGAAACUUGAGCUAAUACCGUAUACGUCCGUGAGGAGAAAGAUUUAUCGCCCUUAGACAGGCCCGCGUCGGAUUAGCUAGUUGGUGGGGUAACGGCCUACCAAGGCGACGAUCCGUAGCUGAUCUUAGAGGAUGAUCAGCCACACUGGCACUGAGACACGGCCCAGACUCCUACGGGAGGCAGCAGUGGGGAAUCUUGGACAAUGGGCGCAAGACUGAUCCAGCCAUGCCGCGUGAGUGAAGAAGGUCUUCGGAUUGUAAAGCUCUUUUGCCAGGGACGAUAAUGACGGUACCUGGAGAAUAAGCCCCGGCAAACUUCGUGCCAGCCGCCGCAGUAA
rnacentral:rRNA from 1 species